UACGUAGGGGGCAAGCGUUGUCCGGAAUCAUUGGGCGUAAAGCGCACGUAGGCGGCUUUGCAAGUCGGAUGUGAAAUCCCUCGGCUCAACCAAGGAAGUGCAUCCGAAACUGCAGAGCUUGAGUACUUAAGAGGAUCGCGGAAUUCCCGGUGUAGAGGUGAAAUUCGUAGAUAUCGGGAGGAACACCAGUGGCGAAGGCGGCGAUCUGGGAAGAUACUGACGCUGAGGUGCGAAAGCGUGGGGAGCAAACAGG
rnacentral:rRNA from 1 species